CUCAAAAUCAGCUGCUUACCCAGAGGACCCUCCCUAACCCAUGGCAAACUGGGAUCUGGCAUCAACUCUGCAAUCACUGAGGGUCUGGUUGGCUCUCUCAUCCCAGCACAGAGCAGUCAGGGUGGGGCAGCAUCCCUUCCUGAAGAUGGGGAAGUGAGACCAAGGGAGGGAGCGACUCACCCAAGGUCACAUGGGGCUGGGGAUUAGGGUGGGUUCCACCUUGGAACCCAAAUACAGCCGCCAAGACCACCUCUCUCCGUCGAGAGCCUGGACCACCUCUCCCAGAAUGCCUGCUGCCUUCUGCCCACAGGAGCCCUGGGCUUCCCCUCCAUACUGGCUGCCCUGAAGUUGAGGGCUCCAAUCCUGUGGCCCAGGGGAGACUAAUCCACUCUCCAGGCCCCAGCCCCAGCCCUCCUUCCUCACCCCAACCCUAGCAGCCGGCAUUUCAGCCCAGAUGGCCAAGCCUGGAGCCACUCUCUCUGUGUACUUCCUCUCCCUGCCCUGACCCAGAAACGCUGCCAAGCUCCAGGGGAGGGCCUUGCUCAACUCCUGCAGAGACCACAGAGGAGGACAGCUGAACGGGCCCUGUAGUCAGCUCCUAGGAAGCCCCCAUUCAGGUGGGGGAUUUGGAGUGAUGAGCCUUCCCCUCUUCACUGUGUGACCCCAGAUCACUGCCUCACCUCUCUGUGCCUCCAUUUCCUAAGAAAAGAAGCUGUGGUUCCAGCACUUUGGAAGGCCAAGAGAGGAAGAUCACUUGAGCCCAGGAGUUUGAGACCAGCCCUGG
rnacentral:lncRNA from 1 species